UUAAUAGAUAUUUACCUAACAAAGUCUUCCACGUGUCUCAUACUUUGUUCAUAAUUCUUUCCACCUACUUCUUGGCAGUGCAGCGCUAUAAACUUCGAAUCCAAACGUGAUAUAGUCUAAAAAAAGGAAAUUACAAAAGGAUGCGACUUAAUGCCAUUUAAUUCUCGAGAUAAUACUGAUAGUAGUAAAGCUUACCGAUAAAAAUUCUUUUGUCCAUAUCUUUAACAUGACAUCAGGCUGCAAAGUAAAAAAAAGAAAAGAACAUUAUUACAAGAGUCAUUCAAGGAACGUCAAAAUAAUUAUACAUUAAAUAUUACGUUGGAAAUAAGUUAGGGGGAAAAGAAAAAGAAAAGGAGCGUGUUUAUAUUCAGUAAAUCAAAUAUCAAACAAUCGUACGCCUCGAUUCGCGGUAAAUGCUUUGCACUUGAUAAACAGUACCGGCACACAUGCAUGCAUACAUAUGUAUAUGAGAAUAUUCGUACGCUAAACGAUAUAAAUCGUCAUAUUAAACUGAAUUGAAUUGUGACGAUAAAAUAUUUUUAUUUCACAUACACACAUGUAUAUGCAUCCAAAAGAGGCAAUGAAAAUAUUACUCAACAAUGCAUAACGCAUUUGACAGCUUUCUUUCAAACGAAUCAAUUGGUACAAAAUGAUAGCAAAAUUAAAAGAAUUAAAUGUACGUACACAAAUAGAGAAUAGGAUAAUCAAAGCAAAAUAAAAUACAUACGUGACGAAAGCGCGCGAAAUGGGAUACAAGAUGAGAAAUUGAGACAUAGAAUACUUAUCGUAAAAAAGUUUCGAAAUAAAAGAGAAUAAGAAAAUUUAAUAAAACAUACCUCUUCGAAGAUACUGCCGACGUUUGCAGUGAUCAAAAGAAUCGGGACACCUUCGAUGGUAGCCAUUCUCGAAGGCUUGACGAAUAUAGCAAGAAGAAGAAGAAGAAGAAGAUGAUGA
rnacentral:lncRNA from 1 species